CCUACUGGAGGCAGCAGUGGGGGAUAUUGCACAAUGGGGGAAACCCUGAUGCAGCGACGCCGCGUGGGUGAAGAAGCGCCUCGGCGCGUAAAGCCCUGUCAGCAGGGAAGAAAAUGACGGUCCCUGAAGAAGAAGCCCCGGCUAACUACGUGCCCGCAGCCGCGGUAAUACGUAGGGGGCAAGCGUUAUCCGGAGUUACUGGGUGUAAAGGGGGCGCAGACGGCGAUGCAAGCCAGGAGUGAAAGCCCGGGGCCCAACCCCGGGACUGCUGUUGGAACUGCGUGGCUAGAGUGCAGGAGGGGCAGGCGGAAUUCCUGGUGUAGCGGUGAAAUGCGUAGAUAUCAGGAGGAACACCGGUGGCGAAGGCGGCCUGCUGGACUGCAACUGACGUUGAGGUCCGAAAGCGUGGGGAGCAAACAGGAUUAGAUACCCCUGUAGUC
rnacentral:rRNA from 1 species